UUUAACCUUUAAAAAAAAUAUAAUUGCACUUUCUGGCAGGAAAAACAAUUCAAUUACACUUGCUGCCAGGACUCGGUGUCCUGGGAUUUGCAAGAUUGUAGCGGGCAGGGCCAGCAAUUGAGGGGCAGUUUAUGUAAUUGAGAUGCCAUUGUGAUGUCAUAGCUGUAACUGCCACUGCAACUUCAA